UACGUAGGGGCUAGCGUUGUCCGGAUUUAUUUGGGCGUAAAGAGCGCGUAGGCGGCUAGGUAAGUCCGACGUGAAAUCUGGAGGCUCAACCUCCAGCGGUCGUUGGAAACUACUUGGCUAGAGUCCGGAAGAGGAGAGUGGAAUUCCUGGUGUAGCGGUGAAAUGCGCAGAUAUCAGGAAGAACACCGAUGGCAAAAGCAGCUCUCU
rnacentral:rRNA from 1 species